GAUGAACGCUGGCGGCGUGCUUAACACAUGCAAGUCGAACGAAGCACCUUAAUUGAUUUCUUCGGAAUGAAGUUAUUGUGACUGAGUGGCGGACGGGUGAGUAACGCGUGGGUAACCUGCCUCACACAGGGGGAUAACAGUUGGAAACGGCUGCUAAUACCGCAUAAGCGCACAGUACCGCAUGGUACGGUGUGAAAAAACUCCGGUGGUGUGAGAUGGACCCGCGUCUGAUUAGCUAGUUGGCAGGGCAACGGCCUACCAAGGCGACGAUCAGUAGCCGACCUGAGAGGGUGACCGGCCACAUUGGGACUGAGACACGGCCC
rnacentral:rRNA from 1 species